CCUACGGGGGGCUGCAGUGAGGAAUAUUGGUCAAUGGUCGGGAGACUGAACCAGCCAAGCCGCGUGAGGGAUGAAGGUACAGAGUAUCGUAAACCUCUUUUGUCAGGGAACAAAGGCGGGGACGCGUCCCCGGAUGAGUGUACCUGAAGAAAAAGCAUCGGCUAACUCCGUGCCAGCAGCCGCGGUAAUACGGAGGGUGCGAGCGUUAUCCGGGUUUAUUGGGUUUAAAGGGUUCGCAGGCGGUCUGUUAAGUCAGCGGUAAAAGCCCGGGGCUCAACCCCGGCCCGCCGUUGAAACUGGCAGUCUCGAGUUGGAGAGAAGUAUGCGGAAUGCGCGGUGUAGCGGUGAAAUGCAUAGAUAUCGCGCAGAACUCCGAUUGCGAAGGCAGCAUGCCGGCUCCACACUGACGCUGAGGCACGAAAGCGUGGGUAUCGAACAGGAUUAGAUACCCCAGUAGUC
rnacentral:rRNA from 1 species